rnacentral:rRNA from 1 species
AUUGAACGCUGGCGGAAUGCUUUACACAUGCAAGUCGAACGGCAGCACGGGGCAACCUGGUGGCGAGUGGCGAACGGGUGAGUAAUACAUCGGAACGUGCCCAAUCGUGGGGGAUAACGUAGCGAAAGUUACGCUAAUACCGCAUACGAUCUACGGAUGAAAGCGGGGGAUCGCAAGACCUCGCGCGAUUGGAGCGGCCGAUGUCAGAUUAGGUAGUUGGUGGGGUAAAGGCUCACCAAGCCGACGAUCCGUAGCUGGUCUGAGAGGACGACCAGCCACACUGGAACUGAGACACGGUCCAGACUCCUACGGGAGGCAGCAGUGGGGAAUUUUGGACAAUGGGCGCAAGCCUGAUCCAGCCAUGCCGCGUGAGUGAAGAAGGCCU